UACGUAGGGUGCGAGCGUUAACCGGAAUUACUGGGCGUAAAGCGUGCGCAGGCGGUGAUGUAAGACAGGUGUGAAAUCCCCGGGCUUAACCUGGGAACUGCAUUUGUGACUGCAUCGCUGGAGUGCGGCAGAGGGGGAUGGAAUUCCGCGUGUAGCAGUGAAAUGCGUAGAUAUGCGGAGGAACACCGAUGGCGAAGGCAAUCCCCUGGGCCUGCACUGACGCUCAUGCACGAAAGCGUGGGGAGCAAACAGG
rnacentral:rRNA from 1 species